ACUCCUCCUUGUCUAAACCGUUCUUCUUGCUUCGAUGCUCUAAUGGCAGCAAGGUAAUCUUCUUUCUCCGCAGGGUGCAUGUCUGAAGGAUAUGCAUAUCCAUCCUCAUCAUCAUCAUCAUCAUCAUCAUCAACAGGAUUGCUACUUUUAUUGCUCAUGUAUCCCCCUCUUGCUGUAGAUCUUAUGUUUUCUUCAACAGAUUUCUUAUGUUGUUUGCU
rnacentral:lncRNA from 1 species